ensembl:snoRNA U3 Small nucleolar RNA U3
AAGACUAUACUUUCAGGGAUCAUUUUGUUAGUUGUUGACUUGAGAAAUGUGUUUUUAAAGAGGUUCCUCUCACUGUACACGAUGAAGAUUUCAGAUGUUUCCUUCAGAGCAGGAAACUGGUGGGGAGACUUUCUUUCUUUUCCACUGUUGAAGAUUAAUCAAAGAUUCUGAAAGACUCUCUGAUCAAGGAAAUCUGAUCUGAGUGGA